rnacentral:rRNA from 1 species
UCCCCAUGGUUUAUAAGAGACAUGUUUGAGAAAUGUCUGGGAAACUGCUUGAUGGAGGGGGAUAACUACUGGAAACGGUAGCUAAUACCGCAUAACGUCGCAUGACCAAAGAGGGGGACCUUCGGGCCUCUUGCCAUCGGAUGUGCCCAGAUGGGAUUAGCUAGUAGGUGGGGUAACGGCUCACCUAGGCGACGAUCCCUAGCUGGUCUGAUAGGAUGACCAGCCACACUGGAACUGAGACAC